rnacentral:rRNA from 1 species
AGAUUCUUCGCCUGUUUAUCAAAAACAUGUCCUUUUGAUAAUUUAUUUAAGGUCUAACCUGCCCAAUGAAYAAUUGAAUGGCCGCGGUAUUUUAACUGUGCUAAGGUAGCAUAAUCAUUUGUCUUUUAAUUGAAGGCUGGAAUGAAAGGUUGGACGAAACAUCAAUUUUCUUUAAUUUAAUAGUAGAAUUUAAUUUUUUAGUUAAAAAGCUAAAAUUUUUUUAGGGGACGAGAAGACCCUAUAGAUCUUGAUAAAGUUAAUAUUUAUUAAUUUGGGUGUUGAAUAUAAUUGAAUAUAAAGUUUUAUUUGAUUGGGGCGAUUCUAGAAUUUAACAAACUUCUGGUUUUAUUUUUCAUUAAUUAAUGUUUGUUUGAUCCGUUAUUAGUGAUUAAAAGAUUAAGUUACCUUAGGGAUAACAGCGUAAUUUUUUCAGAGAGUUCAUAUUAAUGAAAAAGUUUGCGACCUCGAUGUUGGAUUAAAAUAAGUGUUUGGUGCAGUAGCUAAAUUACUAGGUCUGUUCGACCUUUAAAUUUUUACAUGAUCUGAGWUCA